UCGUUGCUGUACAUUCAAUUGUUUUUUUGUUUUUGUCUAAAGCUUCUAUCCACUAUAUGAAUUCAAUACACUACAUGAAUGGAAAAGGAUCAUGUUUUGUGAUCAUUUUUCCUCUACCUUUCAAAGCUUUAAAGGGCUUUAUUUGCUUUUAAUUUCCAGAAGAGGAUGGACUCAUACUCUUUCUUUGGUUCUAAUUGGAUUGCUCUAUGUCAAUGAAAUUGCACAGAAGAAAGAUUUUAUCACAGAACCAGCCACAUAUGCAUUAGAUUCAACUGAAAAAUACCCCAAAGCUUGCCAACAAUUGGGAAUCUCAGGCAAUUGAACUUGGACCUCCUUUCAUACCAAAGUAAAAGUGAGGAAGGUAAUCCGCUGCCUCCUCUGAAUCUUCUCAAAGUUGCAUCGCUUUUGGAAGAACUUACUAUAACCGUCAGUAUCAAUACUUCUACUAUGGAUGCAAAUAUUUUGUUCUCUUGCUUGCUCUUAUUCGUAGUAAACACAUACCAAAACUUGAAUACUGACUCCUAACACUUCUAAAUUUAAACCAAGUCUGUCUAUUCACCAUGGCUUUUGUUGUGUGCAUAUAUAUGAUUUCAAUAUGUUGUUCAAGAGAAGUAUCUCAAGGUAAACACCUGAACCUCAUAUAUGGUUUAUUUGAUAUUCUGUAUUGGCUUUUAAGAGAACAAGAUUUAAUCUCACAAUUUCUUUUGCCAAUUGGUGCAGCAUCAGAGCCAAAAAGGUUAAAGCUGAAUGCCACCAGUUUUAGGAAUAUUGUAGGGCAGAAAAUGGAGAAGGUUACAUAAUCCGUAGACACAUAUUGUCAUUUAAAUGGCUUCAGUUGCAUUAAACGAACCUAAUAAAGAAGAAAUGACUGUAUCCAUUAUCAAGUAGUCCUCUUGCAGUCCUCAUUAUCAACUUCUGAAUC